CCUACGGGAGUCAGCAGUAGGGAAUCUUUCACAAUGGGCGAAAGCCUGAUGGAGCAACGCCGCGUGCAGGAUGAAGGCCUUCGGGUUGUAAACUGCUUUUAUAAGCGAGAAAUAUGAUGGUAACUUAUGAAUAAGGAUCUGCUAACUACGUGCCAGCAGCCGCGGUCAUACGUAGGAUCCGAGCAUUAUCCGGAGUGACUGGGUGUAAAGAGUUGCGUAGGUGGCAUAAUAAGUAGCUAGUGAAAUCUGGUGGCUCAACCAUUCAGACUAUUAGCUAAACUGUUAAGCUCGAGACCGUUAGGGGUAACUGGAAUUUCUAGUGUAGGAGUGAAAUCCGUAGAUAUUAGAAGGAACACCAAUAGCGUAGGCAGGUUGCUGGGACGGUUCUGACACUAAGGCACGAAAGCGUAGGGAGCAAACGGGAUUAGAUACCCUAGUAGUC
rnacentral:rRNA from 1 species